UUGAUCAGUAGACGAGUUGUUCAACUCCACGAAUGUUGGAUGAUGAGAGACUGAAUCCAUCGAAUCUUUAACGAAAUAUUUUUUGGGCACAGAGUGCGUUCCAGUCAAUUAGGAAUAUAUCACCAACAAUCUUGUGGUUUGGAACGAAAAAGAAAACCAAGGUCUAGCAUCUUGGCAGAAGGGGACGGAAUGAGGUGUGUUUCCUGAGGCAAGAUGAUAAAGCACGUGUCGGAAAAUCGACCUUCUGGGAAUGGCAAUGAAGCGAAUGAUACAACCGGAGACUUUCUACUAACGGUUCCAACAUUUCUACUCACCAUCACAAAACACACAAACACUGGGGAAUGUGAACCAAGGCCCCACCAGCAUAUGCCGGCAACAUGUCAUGUCAUUCAGAUGAGUACCCCUCAGAGGAAGGGAACACGGAAAGCUUCCUCACAUGCCCUCACUUUCAUCAAUCAUCAAUCAACGGGCCGGUCGGCCGGCUGAGCACAGUGACUUCCUCCGAAAUAUUAAUAACAUUUAUCGAAAUAUGUGUUACCACCGCCCGUUAUCUGGAUGCCGCGUCGCGCAUCGUUUGUUUGUUUGUUGUAGGCAGCGCAAAUGCGUGUCAUGCCGUAGCAUAUGGUAAUGGACAUGAGUGUGAGGCGAUUAGAUUGAUAUAGCCGACGCUACUAUCGUGGCGGUGUGGUGUGACAGAGAAUUUCUGAAGCGACCAUGUACGCCUAGAUUUCCCACUAGCAAUAAUCAACUGUUAUUCACGUUUUGUUUUUCAUU